rnacentral:lncRNA from 1 species
GUCAGGUGCCCCUGUUUUUAUUAUUUUACACAAUGAAAAUAUAAGAAUAAUUUGGCAAUAAUAGAUGGAGAUAAAAAAAAAUCCCAGAAUAUGCCAACUAAAAGCAAAACAUUUGUAGCUGGUUCACGGUGAUAGACUAAACAGACAUGUUCCCCUUCCUCCCCAGGAUCCUCUGAGAAGGUGGAAAAGAAGCCGAAAGACAAUUCAAUGGCAAGAGUGCUGGAAAGUGGAGAAAGAGCAUAGACCACAAAGUUGGAAGUAUUCAUGGAAGACAGAAGAGUUUGCAGGGACAAAAAAAAGAGAUUCAAACAAAUCUGCAUUUCUGUAAAUGACAAAGCCAAAAGAGAUAUGGAGCCCUCUUUAACUCUCCAACUCUAUUCAAGAUAAAAGCAUUCCCCGGCUAAAAUAACAAUACAGGAAGGAAAAGAUUGUAACCCGCAAGGACUAAAGGUACAGGAUGGGAGGCAGACAACAGAUAUCCAGGAAUGUUCACAAUGGGGGAAACUUAUAAAGGAGUUUUCACUACCUUAGCAAAAAAGCUGGGUCUGCUC